CCCCUCCGCCGCGGGUCCUGCCCGCGCAGGCCGCGCCGCCUUCCCGCCGCCGGCAGGGGCACACCUGCGGCCUCGCCUCGGCCGGCGGCGCUGGGAGGGGGGGGGCUCCGGUUACUGAGGUGAGUUAACGGCAGGCCGCGGUGGCAGCGGCAAUGGCGGUGAUCACCCCGCCUUCCACCCGGCCCGGAGUUUCCUGCUGUGCCCUGUCAGGUUUCACACGUGAAAUGCGCAUGAGGAAAUUGACAGGAAUCGAACCAGAUUAAAAAGCUUCGAGGCACCGCUUGACUAAUAGCCACCUAUUUGGGAACACUUCAUGGGAGUUCUGUUAGCUAAUUUAAAUUGUGUCUUACCAUGAACACUUGGCAGCUGUGCCUAUUGGGGAGAAAUCAUUUCUUACCCAGUCUUUCCCUCGUCACAGAGCGGCUGGGGUUGGCAGGACCUCUGGAGGUCAUCUGGCCCAACCCACUGCUCAGGCAAGGCCACCUGGAGCAGGCGGCCCAGGAACACGGCCAGUUGGUUUGUGCCCGUUGCCUCUCGUCCUGUCCCAGGGAACCACUGAGAAGAGCCUGGCUCUGUCGUCUUCGUUCCCUCCCAUCGGGUACUUACGGACAUGGAUAAGAUCCGUCCGACCCUUCUCCACAGGCUGAACGGUCCCAGCUUUCUCAGCCUCCGCUCGUCGUAGUCGGUGUGCUACCUGAGAUGCCCAUGUCUUUACACCCGUUUUCUCUCUUGAAGUCUACUAAGCGAUAAGGGAGAAUGCUAAUAAAAUCUAUGACUGUUUAUUUAUUGAACAAUUACAGCCUUUCACACAGUUAAACUUGACGAUUUGAAAUGUCUUCUCUGUGAAUCUGUUCCAUAAAUCCACAAUACCAAGAUCUUCCAAGGUUGUAGAGUUACUGUAUCUGAGGUGGCUGUUGGUAGCUGACAGUCCAGUUCACCGCUAGGUCGUUCGUUCAACAGAGUGUCAUGACUAGUCAGCAAAUAAUUACUGUUUAAUAGCAUCGGUCUGGUUCUCACUGGAAAGGAUGGCUUUAUGUUUAUUGGAUAUGUGCUCUAUAAAAACUUAGGGCAAAAGAACACAGGAGCUGAGUUAUACCCCUGAGGAAAUACAGAAUAUUGAUAUGAAAUCUCUGUUCAGAAAGGAUGAUAUAUGCCCGGUUAAACACAGUGUUCUUCAAGUAUACCCAGCACCGGGUAUGUCUUUAGACCAGAAUUAACAACCUGAAGCUGUGUAUAGCUUACUCUAUACCCAAAAAUAUUUCCUUCAGUUCAAGAAACUACAUGAAUGAUUUAUAUGUUGACCAGCUUACUCAUGCUACUUGAAUAUUCAUACUGUUGUGUUAAAAUUGUGUUCUCCUUUACAAUGAGUUACAGAAAAAUGCAACAGAAACUGAAAGGCAAUCUUAAGUUUUUUUCACAUAGUAUUUUGCCCAUAGUCAGGACUCGGCCUCCUCCCAGAUACAAAAACACCAGGUCUGCAGGGCCUCGUGCUUCAAGGAAACUAGCUAUAGCCAAAUAAAAGUUUUCCAGGUUUCACUAGCUAUUUGAUGGCAGGGUCGGAUGACAUUGACUUCAAAAGCAACACAUUAAGGAUACAUUUGGCUUUAAGUGCCACCUUUGUUUCCUGCCAUCAGCAAAUCUGGUUAUCUAGAAUAUAACACAGAACCUCAGCUAUACUGGUACUAUUAUUGGUUUGUGCCCAUAUCUUUGUGGACAUAACCUUGAGUAGAAGAGAAAAACAACCACACCUGUGUCCACACCUAUGAUCAGGACAUGUUUUUCCCCAGCAUGCUUUUACAUUUAAAAUAGAAAAAGUUAUACUGGACCUUAAGUUUGUGAUAUGGAGAAGGUAGGUUGGAAAAAGGGUAUAUUAUAAACCUAACAAAUACUCAUGGGGCUUCUCUGGAAAUGGUAUUCUGCAUAGAUGGCCUGAGUUCUAACUAAUUAUAUGCUUUUCCCAGAAAUAAAAUGUUAUUGUUCCUUGAAAUUCUACCUAUUAGCCUGAGUUUUUCAAAUGUCUUAGUUUUUUGGUUGGGAUUUAUUUCAAAUCCAUGUCUCGCGAUAAAAUAUAUUUUCUUCAGAUGUACCUUUGUCUUAGUUAUUUAAUACAAAGGAAGCAAGAAAUGAGAAGAGGAUAAAACACACCAAGCCGUAGCAAACAUUUCUUCCCAUAUAUAAACACAAAUCACAUUUUGAAGGGAUUUGUAUUUCCUGUUCUGUUCAUUUCUGUUAACAGGUUCAGGCAGUUAUUGGCUGCUAGGUAUAUUCCAGAUCUUUAAAUUUUAAAUCAUGCUAGCCUAUUAGCUAAUUUAAAUCUCUUUCGCUAACACUCUUUAUACUAAUGUAGGUAAUAAAAUUGUGCAUUUGUUCAAGAAAUAAUUUUUUUUUAAAUCAACUGAAUGUAAAAAAUUUUUCUUCCCCAAAUACUCAGCAAAUCAUUAUCUCAGCCAGUGAUGUUGGAAAAUACAUUAAACAGAUAGCUUUUUUGUUAAUCACAAAGGUAUUUUUAACAUUUGUAGCAUAAUCUUUCUCCUCAUCAACUGACUGAUAACUAAAUAUGUUUAGUACCAGCUUGACACUGCAGAAUUCCUGAAAAUCCUGUGGACACAUAAGAUGGAAGCAUCAGAGGAGGGGAGUGUUGGUCUCAAGCCAUGAUACACAGCAUGAAAAAGAGAGCUUCAUCCUCUUCAGUAUAAGCGGCAUGGGCAGUAACUGAAGAACGACAACAACUGGGUGCUGAAUACAACCCCCACGUUGUAAUACAGCAUGGGAAACAAGGAAAAUGACUGCAACAUUUUGGUAAGAUUCCCAUGCCUCCACCCACUGCAAUAGGAGAUUAAAGUACAAACUAAGUAGAAAAUAGACCUGCAAGGCUUCAGAUGUCACUUACAGGAAUAUGAUCAACUCUGUCUGGAUAAAUAAUACAGUAUCUCAGUACCGGAGCUUACCCAGGACAGAUGUCUCAUCAAUAACAAACUUGUUCCCUGUAACAUUAAAUGACUCUGAAAGAUGUACAAACCGCAAGACCCAGCAAGCAACAGUGCAGUGAAACUUUUUCUGAGAUGAGCAAACAGAAAGUUUGCCACAAGCCUGUGGCACUCAUCCUGAAGUACGAGGUGCUGAAGAAAGGCCGGGAGAGAUUAGGAAAGCUUGAGGUUAUUUACUCUCAAUACUGCUAAGCAAAAUGGCAACUAGGAAAUCUAGCUGCAAAACAACUUUCUGCCUGGCCAAGGGAAAAGAACGAUAAAGACAGGGGAAUCUCAAGAAGUUCUGUUGCAGAUAUAACAGAUCCUGCCAAAAAAUCAAGGUAUUUGCCAAGAGGGACAAAGAAAAGACGCUUACGGAACAAGUUUAAAGGAGCAGAUCUGCCAGGUUCCUGGGAUCUUUUCAUCACCUGUUGAAUAAAAUUCUUUUCAGUGGUUCUCUUCAGAUAUUUCAAAGUGCUAAUGAAAUAGAGUUUGCCUGGAGAAUAAAGGUGCAGAAAUUUCUGUGUCAAAGAAUUAACUUAUUAGUAUAGAAGGAUUGACAGGAGGGUCUUUACAGGCCUUUUGCACUUAAGAGAGUGAUUUGCCUGAAUAUCUCAAAAGGGGUCUAUGUAGUAUUCUCUGAUGAUAGGAUAGGAGAAGAAUUCUGCCAAUGCAAGGUCAAAACUCCCAGCCAGUGGUAAACUGCAUAGCUGUGAUAACAUCAUUAGCAUGUGGAAGGAGCUGGCGUUUCUUAGCACCGCACUGGACUACUUCAACAGAUGGAUAAAAUCAGAUUGGAGAAAGCCUGAAAGAUCAUGAUGUGACAGAUGGGUAGAGGCAUAAACGAUCUCUGGAAAAUGGUGGACAUGGGAGGGAUUAACUGCCUGGAUUCUGCUGAUGGUGUCCGUCUUCUAGGCAUUUAGCAUAAGAGUUUAUAGAUCCAACCCUCUGUGGGAGCAGUUAAUGUGUUCUGUGUAUUAGUGGAAACAAGUCAAUUGUGAUUGUCUUUUGCAAGGUAAAGGAAGAGAAUUCUAAAUAGGCAUUAGAUGGUGGCAAGGUAAUUGGGAGUUUGUGCUACCUGACUUUAGAUGAAAUAGGAGUGAUGCCAAACCUUCUAGGAGCUGCUUGACUGUCGGCGAGCGUGGGAACAUCAGUUUCCUGAGGCAUUUAAAGGUAUGAAUACUGGCAUGAAAACCUGCUAGUAUAGACACUUGUAAAAAUCUGUUAAAUUAUAAAAAACAUUCUGAUUACAAAUACCUAGAGAGAAGAAUGCACAAAAAUGCAGAGAGAGAACUUCAUUGUGAAGAUAAAUCCAGAUUUUCCAGUUACAGAUGGUACAACUUUGUCAGUCUCCUUUUGCGCUUAACGGAAUAGCAGCUAUCUCCUUCUCAUGGCCGGUGCUGGAAUGCAUGGCGGGAGCUGGCUGCAGUUGUACUGAAUGGGGUGGGGAGGAGCAGGCCCACUCCAGCCUGUCAAAUCACCCACAAUCAGACUCUGUGCUAAUUGUCACAGAAAACUGGAUAUUCUUUAUCAUCUUUGAGCAUUCAAAGGUUUUUGUUGUUUUGCCGCAAUGGGAAGUACACCUCAAGUGUGUUUGAAAGACGAUGUUGCUGGGAGGCAGAAUAGCUAACCGGGACCUAGUUACCAUUGAGUGAGACUGGGAAGGGGCGAGCUGCCAGAAAAGAGGAUGUAAAGGAGCAAGCAGCUUCCAGUGCUUAAAAGACUCGUGAGAAGUAGUAGGGCCAGAAGUUACAGACUCGAAACUGGAGAAUUUGGUGGUUCCAACAAAUGUGUGGAAGUCAGCAUGUUGCAAGGCAUGAAACAAACUUUAUGACAUAUUCCUGAGUAAGGCAAAAGGCAUAUAUUCAAAAUUGCCAUAGACUUCUUUGCAAGAAUAAGCAUGUGUGUACAAAGAUCUGGCUGAGGACAUAUCCUAUGGCAUAUACUAGACCUGUUCUGUAAACUUUAUAAAUUUAAUCCCUGAGGCAACUGUUUCAGCAGUAGAACACGUGAAUCUUCUGUACAGUUUGUAUUUAAUUUUGGAUUUGUGAACUGCUCUGGUGUAAGUGUACAAAAUUAUCCACAGUAAAGUAAUACAAGUAAGAGUAAGCGUCCAGGGAAGUAAAAAGUAAAGAUUGUGUUCUGCUGUGUCUUUAAUGGUGCAUACAUUUAACUAGCUACAGCCUUUAAUGAAUAUGAGGUUUUAUUUAGAGAAUUUCCUCUUUCUGAGCAAAAUUGUUACCUCCUCUCUAAUUAUAAUAAUAAAUACACUGUAGGUAAAAUAUGCAAAUGGUAUUUUUGGAAAUAUAAUUAGUCUGGAAGUUCUGUUGCCUUUUGCAGUUCUAUAAUUCUCUAGUGUGACCUUUGAAGGAGCCGUUGGCACUAUCUGCCUGUAUAAAAACAACAAGCUUUCAUGAAAAAUAUACUUGGAAAAUAUAUGAACAUUAUUUUAAAUUGCUCUAUGAAAAGACACUGUCAGUUUGUUGCAUAAUGUUGCAUCUCUAUUUUAUUUAUUUGACCAGGACUGACUGUAUGUUCUAAACCUAAAAUAUAAUAAAUUAUCAGUUCAUGCAAAUCUA